UACGAAGGGGGCUAGCGUUGCUCGGAAUCACUGGGCGUAAAGGGCGCGUAGGCGGCCUGAUCAGUCGGGGGUGAAAGCCUGUGGCUCAACCACAGAAUGGCCUUCGAUACUGUCGGGCUUGAGACCGGAAGAGGUAAGUGGAACUGCGAGUGUAGAGGUGAAAUUCGUAGAUAUUCGCAAGAACACCAGUGGCGAAGGCGGCUUACUGGUCCGGAUCUGACGCUGAGGCGCGAAAGCGUGGGGAGCAAACAGG
rnacentral:rRNA from 1 species